AUGUCAACUAACCAAGAGAUUUAGCUCUGUUUUACACAGUACAAACUAGUUCCGGCAAAAGAUGAAAUGGCUUGCAGUGAUAUAACAAUUUAGUUUCAUUGUACAUUUAACUUGAAUGCUUAUUUAUUCUUGAACAAUUAGAAAAGACACCAACAAUCUCAUUAUUCAGGGUUAAAGUUUCACUAACCGUCCCUCAAUUAUGGUCCUUGUAACAGGACUAUCCAUGAACUUCAAUAUGUAACACAAAAAUCAAUGAACAUUAAUUUAGUGAACAAUAAAGUCUUGGUUACCUGAUUUCAUAGGUUUGCGAAUUAACCUACUGAAGUGGCCUCUUCAUGCUGGCAUCAAAGAAAGAAAAUGGCCUACAUAGUACAUACCCUCACUUGAAAUUACCUGUUUUUCACCCCUCAGAGUCUCCACCUCUCUCUCUCGCUCUUGAUCUUUCCUACUCCCAUUCCUUCAACUCAUUCCUUAAGCACGAUGAUAAAUCUCCAUAUGUGCAUGUCUCAAAAUCAUGUUAAGCAUGUCUUCUUUGUCAUCGCUGUCUAGGCCUCAAAAUUGUUGUGGGAUUCAUCUCCCGCUUUGCUUCAUGAAGGCUCCCGGCUGGAUUUCCCAGGCAAAUUUCUUGACUCUAAAAUCUGCUUUCAUAGGCAAACCCAUGAUUGACUUGUUGAUUGGUGGCUCAAGAUAUGUCUUUGAUUUCUUGUGCAUGUUGCAAUUGAUUUUGAAUUCAACUAUGUAGUGUUUUUUCUCUAAAAUGUUUGUCAAUCAGGAUUUUGAUGGUAUAUUAGAGAAGUCCAUGUUCGGAUUGGUUACAAUGGUAGAUUGGAGAAAUCGGAGAUCUAAAAUUCUGAAGAGAGCCUUAGGUGAGUUCAUCAUGAAGCAAGAGCAGGAGACUACUUCAAAACAGCAUCAUUUAAAUUUGCCCAAAUUUUGAGCUUCCGUGCAUCUCGAAACCCUUUCAAAGGGCUUGGUAAUCUGGUCACUGCCCGAGAUGGUAAGGAGGAUGGUGGCAGCAGCACCAUUCCUUUCUUUAGCUUUACUGCUCAAUGAAAUUCCCGCUCUUUUCCUCGAUCUCUCUCCCUUCACCAAGGUCAAGCCCUUUUUAUUUUUUAUUCUGACCCAAAAUCUUGUUAUGAUCUUGAAACGUUGGGUUAACAACUUAACAUUGUUAUUGCUUUGAGGUGGUGCUGUAGAGGGGAGCUCCCAGAAAAUUUUGUACUAUUAUGGUUUGUGUAGAUAUGCAACAAAUAGACAAUAAUCUUUGGUUGCUGCUGUAGAUUCAAUAUUAAAAUUUCCUUCUCUUUUUUAGUUGUCUCUCAAUGUUUGGAGAAGUAAUUUUGAUUUUUGUUGAACAUUGUUUGGAAAAAUAAUUUUAAGGUGAUAAACCAUGGGAAGAGAGGUAGACACAUAGAAAGAGAGGGGGCGAGAAAGAUAAGAGAGCAUAGAGGGGAAGAGGCAGAGAGAGUGAAGAGGGA
rnacentral:misc_RNA from 1 species